AAUGAACGCUGGCGGCGUGCUUAACACAUGCAAGUCGAGCGGUAAGGCCCUUUCGGGGUACGACGAGCGGCGAACGGGUGAGUAACACGUGGGUGACCUCGCCCUCAGCUCUGGGAUAAGCCUGGGAAACUAGGGUCUAAUACUGGAUAUGACUCCACGGUGCAUGUCGUGGGGUGGAAAGCCUUGUGCGGCUGAGGAUGGGCCCGCGGCCU
rnacentral:rRNA from 1 species